ACGGCUACCUUGUUACGACUUAGCCCCAGUCAUCAGUCUUGCCCUAGGUCGCUCCUAUACGGUCACGAACUUCAGGCACUCCCGACUCCCAUGGCUUGACGGGCGGUGUGUACAAGGCCCGGGAACGUAUUCACCGCGCCAUGGCUGAUGCGCGAUUACUAGCGAAUCCAGCUUCAUGGAGUCGAGUUGCAGACUCCAAUCCGAACUGAGACAGGGUUUCGGGUUCCGCGCCCAAUCGCUUGGUGGCUUCCCGCUGUCCCUGCCAUUGUAACACGUGUGUCGCCCCGGACGUAAGGGCCGUGCUGAUUUGACGUCAUCCCCGCCUUCCUCACAGCUUGCGCCGGCAGUCUCGACAGAGUCCUCGACUUUACUCGUUAGCAACUGUCGAUAGGGGUUGCGCUCGUUAUGGCACUUAAGCCGACACCUCACGGCACGAGCUGACGACAACCAUGCAGCACCUCGCAUAAUGCCCCGAGGGGAAACAAUCUUUCAACUGUCGUCAUUAUGCGUUUGAGCCCGGGUAAGGUUCCUCGCGUAUCAUCGAAUUANACCACAUGUUCCUCCGCUUGUGCGGGCCCCCGUCAAUUCCUUUGAGUUUCACCGUUGCCGGCGUACUCC
rnacentral:rRNA from 1 species